rnacentral:rRNA from 1 species
UACGUAGGGGGCAAGCGUUGUCCGGAUUUAUUGGGCGUAAAGAGCGUGUAGGCGGCCAGGUAGGUCAGCUGUGAAAACUCGAGGCUUAACCUCGAGACGCCGGCUGAAACCCUCUGGCUAGAGUCCGGAAGAGGAGAGCGGAAUUCCUGGUGUAGCGGUGAAAUGCGCAGAUAUCAGGAAGAACACCCGUGGCGAAGGCGGCUCUCUGGGACGGUACUGACGCUGAAGAAGGCGAAAGCAUGGGGAGCGAACAGG